AUUGAACGCUGGCGGCAGGCCUAACACAUGCAAGUCGAGCGGAACGGCGGACGGGUGAGUAAUGCCUAGGAAUCUGCCUGGUCGUGGGGGAUAACGUACGGAAACGGGCGCUAAUACCGCAUACUAUCAGAUUAGCCUAGGUCGGGUUAGCUAGUUGGUGGGGUAAAGGCCUACCAAGGCGACGACCCGUACCUGGUCUGAGAGGAGGAUCAGUCACACGGGAACUGAGACACGGUCCAGACUCCUACGGGAGGCAGCAGUGGGGAAUAUUGGACAAUGGGCGAAAGCCUGAUCCAGCCAUGCCGCGUGUGUGAAGAAGGUCUUCGGAUUGUAAAGCACUUUAAGUUGGGAGGCGUUACCAACAGAAUAAGCACCGGCUAACUUCGUGCCAGCAGCCGCGGUAAUAC
rnacentral:rRNA from 1 species